rnacentral:rRNA from 1 species
GAUGAACGCUGGCGGCGUGCCUAAUACAUGCAAGUCGAGCGAAGCGGGGACGGGUGAGUAACACGUGGAUAACCUCCUAUAAGACUGGGAUAACUUCGGGAAACCGGAGCUAACCCGGAUAAUUAUAGCUGGAGCCGGGCUGCAUUAGCUAGUAGGGAAGGAAACGGCUGACAACGGCAACGAUGCAUAGCCGACCGGAAAGGGUGAUCGGCAAAACUGGAUGUGAGACACGUGCCAGACUCCUACGGGAGGCAGCAUGAGGUAAUCUUCCGCAAUGGGCGAAAGCCAGACGGUGCAACGCCGCGUGAGUGAUGAAGGUCCUCGGAUCGUAAAACUCUGUUAUUAGGGAAGCGGUACCUAAUCAGAAAGCCACGGCUAACUACGUGCCAGAGACGCGGUAAUUC